UGCGUAAUUAAGCUGCCUCGUCCGAGACGGUUUGAAUUCAUAUUUCAUUGCAGGUUAAGUUGUAUCGAAUAUCUCAGUUUUUUUAGUCCAAUACAUUUUAAAUAUUAUAUUUAAUAUUAUUUGUUGUGUACACUGUUGCAGCCGAGCACAAGCUAACGUUAGCUAGCUAUCUUGCUAGCUAACGUUAGCUAACGUUAUUUAACUUGCUAGCUAAAACUGCUAACAGCAUGGACGAACUUGAUGACGUCACGGUGUCGACUUUAAGAGGUAACGUAGUCAAAUAUACAUUUUUAACGUGGUUAUUAAUUUUUCGUCAUAUUUAUUAUGCACCAGUAACACCAAGAAAAAUCCCUUUUAAGUAAAAACCUACUUUGCAAUACUUAUGAUUCAUCAGAGAGGUUAAGAUCAGCUACAUUUAAACAGAUUAAGACUCGCAGUCCUCUCUAUAAAAUCGGUAGUAACUCUUAAUUCUGAACAGAUUUGAAUGGAAUGGUUUUAUUAUAAAUUGGAUAAAUUUAACUUUAUACUGGUUACGUGUUUCAAUUAAAUCCAGUUACUGGGGUGGAUCUACUCUGUUCUAUUAUACUAAAACAUUCGGAAUAACCACAACUUAAAAUAUAAAUUAUUUAGAAUGUAUGCUUUUAUGAGUUUCUAAAAAAUGUAGAUUGCUAUAUACAUUCAGUAAAUUUGAAUUAAAAUUGCUUCAGAAUUAAGAGAGUUACGACUGAUUAAAAUGUUUAAUUUACCACUCUGAUGUGAUGCAUAAUCCACUGAGGUAUGUCAUUUCUUUAUCUAUUGUUAUAUCAUGUGUAUUUACAUUUUUUGAUGAUGAAGUUCAUUCAUUUUCUGCUUGUUUAGUAAGUAUUUAUUUAACACCAUAAGGCAAUCACUAAACCUACCUUCAUUAUCACUAAAAGGAGAAUAUUAACACAAACUAUUUAGGAUUAUUGUUAUAACCUUAGUGGAGUUGUCAAUGCUGCAUCACAAUUUGUGUUAAGACAGUAUAAAUUAAAAGUUGCUUUUACAAAUACUUAAUUAUCUUUUAUUUUACAGGAAACUGUAGACUCAAAAUCAACGAGCAGUUCUACUUCUAUGAUUGGGUCACCCCUAUCUCAGACAUCCACUCAAGUAAAAAGAUGUCCCGCAAAGCACACAACACCUGAAAAUGUUGUGAAGUUAUCCUUCCCCGAAUAUGUAUUGCACACUGACACCAAACUAGAGCAAUGCCGAAAACAAUAUUUUGAGUUGGCGAAGGCCGGCGAAGAGAGAAACUGCCAAAUGUCAAAGGACCUCAGAUGUCGGCUCAUCCGAAACACCAUGACCAGUAUGAUCGCAAUCCUGAGGGCAACGGGGGACAGAGACAGAUACCCGUCAAAGCCAGAAAUAACAGCUAUGGCAAAGCGAACAGUGCUGUACUACCCCAUGCUGCAGGACCGAGACCUGAGCAGCAAGUUACUGUGUACUCACAGCUAUACAAAAGAUUGAAAAAUUUGAGAUCACCCCAAAAGACCAAUCCAAAGAGGCGCCGACUCGAGGAGCUAAAGUGCCAACCUGACUGACCCAGAUGAAUUUGAUUCAAGUGACUCAACAGUCAUUCUGGAUCUCCCCUCAAAAGGGGGUAGCAUUCAAGCAUUCAAGACUUCCCUUCUGAAGGGAGUAGCACCCCAGACUCGGGCAACAAUGCCAGAUAUGCCCGCAUCUUUGCGUAAGAAGAAAACUCCAAACCGUGAGUCCGUCUCUCAGCUCCUGGAUUUGGAAUUUUCAGCCAGAAGAGCAUUCAUUGAUUCUUUUUGCGAGGAGGACAGACACAAGAAAAUUCCAGAGGACAUUGGACAUGUGAUGGAGGAGCUUCAACGCAUUCUGGACAAAAAUAACAUCCAUUACAUUGAUGAGCUGAAGGGAAGAUGGGACGACUUCUGCCAGAAGGUGCAGUUUUUUGGUGUGUGGAAAAAGCUGCUGAAACCCUCAGUAGGAAUGGACAAAGGCUCUCAGUAUCCUACGUGUGCUGCCUUCAUUGUCCCCCUCUUCAUCUGCUCCUCUGAAGAAGUUAGGACAUGUGAGUGAGGCUCUUGUGCAUGUCCUCGAGGAAAAAGAAGACCCCAAUGACUAUUUGAAGAAACGUCGUCUCUCCUGCCCAGUCCUUAUUGUGAGUUUGUCCAACUGCCUCCUGGCUGUAGGAGAUGUGCUGAUAACUACGCUCCCAAAAGACAAGGUAACACAGGGUGUUUUAUACCUUACGGCCUACUAUUAUGCUCUACACCUUACUUACCCCAGGUGCGUAGCCACUCUGCUCUCUGUCAUAAAAACGGAGGUUCUCUUGGACACAAUCCAUGAGCGAGACCUCACACCAUCUUUCAAGAAGGGCAUGGCUGACUGGAAAGCCUUUGUUGGCAAGUAAAGCCGUUUCCAUUCUUAUUUAGCAAAUGUUUCCCAAUGUUAAGGUCGCAAUAAUAACAAUGUUGUUGAUCUAUUGAGGGACACAGUGGUCAAAUAUUUAUGUUAAUGUUAGCCCAAGACCCAUAACUUGUUGCAAUAAUAAGCACAUUGUAAGUGUAUUGAGGAGACAGAGGUCAGAUGAUUAUGUCUGACUGUAAUCCAUGUGUUACACAUAUAUGUCAUGUUUUGCUAUGUUUUUUUACUAUUAUUAGUAUUUUAUUACAGUGCCAUACACACUGCGCCAAAACAUGACUGGUGCUGCAGGCACAGUGUAACUGACUGACUGCACUGUAUUGUAAGAAUUGUUU
ensembl:lncRNA